GCCAGGCAUGGUGGCGAGCGCCUGUAGUCCCAGCUACUCGAGAGGCUGAGGCAGGAGAAUGGCGUGAACCAGAAGGCGGAGCUUGCAGUGAGCCGAGAUUGCGUCACUGCACUCCAGCCUGAGUAACAGAGCGAGACUCUGUCUCAAAAAAAAAAAGUGCAAUAAGUAGAGGAAGGAAACACUUGAUUUUUAUUUAUUUAUUUAUUUUUUUGAGACAAGAGU
rnacentral:sRNA from 1 species